CAGGUUUCAAAGUAAGCCUAGCACAGAGAAGGAACUCAUCUCAGAUUUUGAAGCAGUAUCUUCCUAUAGCCACCACAGCUGAGAAUGUGCUGGGUCACACCUGCAGCCAGCAUGGCUCUGAGUCUCACCCAAGGCCUGAAGUGAGUACUGCCUGACUACUAUUAGCUUAUUCAGGGCCUAAGGGCUCUUUAGUUAGUAGACGAUGAAUUUCACCAGGACUAGGUCUUUCACUUUAACGCAAGGGGUUCCCUUAUUCCCCAGGGUGUGUUUAGAAAUGUCUGGGAGCUGGGAUCUGGACUGGGGGCUGUAGGAUUCUGCCUGGUGCCCUAUCCUACUGUGGCUCAUCUGGUUUCCAAGUUGCAAGACAAAGUCCUCUUUACUUGUCUCUGUCCUCUCCUUGAGCGCAGGAAAUAAGUCUCUCCUGGAGCUGCAAGCUGCACUGCUUGGGGUUGGGAGACAGAUGACACAAGCACUCUCCUGGCCAUAGCAGCUGGUAUCUCACUUGGUCAUGUGCACCCCAAGUCAGCUGACUCCAAGCCCAGCAUAGCACCAGGACUUGCCCAGGAGUUGCAAUCCCUUUGGCCUAGAUUGCCUUUCAAAUUAAUUUAGGACCCCACCCCAGAGCUUUUUAGCCCAUGGUGGUGGGUCUUGCUGGAACUCAGGUCCUUAUUUCUGGGAUGGACAACUUGCCUCUCAUUAGGGCUGGUCUAAAUGCUCCCUCUGUGGGUGCCAGCUGAGUUCUGUCCCAUGUUGCUUUCCAGGGCAGGACUUAGUUUCAAUGCUAUGUCCCACAAUCACUGUGCUCUCCCUUCCCAAGUGCACAGAUUUUCCCUCUAUGCCAUGCCACUGCUGCUGGGGAAGGGGUGGCAUAGGCAAUUCAAGACUGUCUUUCCUACCCUCUUCAGUUUCUCUUUCCUUAAUAUGAUGUUAAAACCAGGUACUGUGAUAUCCCUCAUCUGAUUUUUGGUUCUUUAGGUUCUUUAUUGUAUGGAUAGUUGUUCAAUUUGUUGUUUCUGCAGUGGGGAGGAUCACAGGAGGCUUCCAUUUGGCCAUUUGGUUCCACCUCCUCAACAUUUUGUUUUGUUUUGUUUUUUAAUCAUAGAAGUAGUUGUUAUAUAUAAUUGGUUCUGAUUCUUGAUUUUCUAUCCCUAUUACAAUACCCAAUUACUCUAAUAUGCGUGUCUUUAUAGUACAUUUUGAUAGUCACCUGCUGUGUAAUGUUUUGAUGAACAACAGACCACAUAUAUGAUGGUGGUCUCUUAAGAUUAUAAUGGAGCUGAAAAAUUCCUAUUGCCUAGUGAUGUAGUAGCUGUCGUAACAUUGUAGUGUAAUGUUACUUACGUCUUUGUGCUGAUGCUGGUGUAAACAAACCUGUGCUACCAGUCAUAUAAAAGUAUAACAUACACAAUUAUGUAUAGUACAUUAUUGAUAAUGAUAAUAAACGAUUAUGUUACUGGUUUAUGUAUUUACUAUAUGAUACUUUUUAUUGUUAUUUCAGAGUGUACUUUUUCUACUUAUUAAAACAGCCUCAGGCAGGUCCUGCAGGAGGUAUUCCAGAAGAGGGCGUUGUUAUUAUAGGAGAUGACCCCCCCAUGUUACUGCUGCUGUGCACCUCACUGUCAGACAGGAUGUGAAGGUGGAAGACAGUGAUAUUGAUGAUCCUGACCCUGUGUAGGCCUAGAGUAAUGUGUGUGUUUGUGUCUUAAUUUUUAGCAAAAUUUAAAAAGAAAAAUAAUUUAAAAUUAGAAGAAAGCUUAUAAAGAUAUAAAGAAAAAAGUGUUUUCGUACAGCAAGUGCAAAUGUUUAUAAACUUUAUAAUAGUGUGUAUAAUGUCCUAGGCCUUCGCAUUUACUCACCACUCACUGACUCAGUCAGAGCAACUUCCAGUCCUGCAAGCUCCAUUUAUGGUAAGUACCCUAUACAGGUGUACCAUUGUUUAUCUUUUAUACUAUAUUUUAACCGUACUUUUUCUAUGUUUAGAUAUGUUUAAAUACACAAAUAUUUAUCAUUGUGUUACAGUUGCCUACAGUAUUCAAUACGAUAAAUGCUGUACAGGUUUGUAGCCUAGGAGCAAUAGGCAAUAUCAUAUAGCCUAGGUGUGUGGUAGGCUAUGCCAUCUAGGUUUGUGUAAGAACACUCUUGUACAACAACAACAUUGCUUGAUGCAUUUCUCAGAAUAUAUCCUUGUUAUUAAGCAAUGCAUAACUGUAUUUGGUAAAAUACAGAGAUAUUCCACAUAUUUUAUUAUGCUAUUAAGCAUCGUUUAAAAUAAUUUAUGUCAGUUAUAACUUGUUUAUUCUUUCACAUGAACAUUGAAAUCAUUGAGUUUACUUCUUAAGCAUUUCAUUGGUAUCUUCAUUUAAAUUGCCUUAUGUUUAUGUUAUAAAACAUACUAAUAAACAGGUUUUCUUUUUUGGGCCUCAGUGAAGUUUGGUAGUUUUCAUUAUAUAAGAUGUUUUGCAUUUCUUGUUAGGAUGUUUCUUAUGUAUUGCAUGUUUCUGAUUAUUGUUAAAGAUGGAACUUUUUUCCUGUUAAAUUUCUUAAGUGAUUACUGUUGAGAUCUAUGUAUAUCUAUUUUCUGUAUCGAUGUCAAUAUCUAUAUCUAUAUUGCUGAUUUUUGUAUCUUCUUAAACUAAUUAUCUUACUGACUUCUACUAGUACAUUUUCAUUUUGUUUACUCUGGUUUUUCCGUAUAGAGAAGAAUCACUUGAAAAUAGAGACACAUUUAUCCCCAUUUAACAAUAAUUUAUUGUAUAUUUUAAAAUAACUGAACAAAUGGAAUUGGAAUGUUUCUAACACAAAAAAAUGAUAAAUACUUGAGGUGAUAGAGAUCCCAAUUAUCCUGAUUUGAUCAUUAGACAUUGUAUGCUUGUAUCAGUAUAUCACAUGUACUACAUAAAUGUGUGUAACUAUUAUGUAUCUGUAAUAAUUAAUAAAAAACCAUCAAUUAAAAAAUUAUUGUCCUUCAUUACAUUGGCUAUAACUUACAGAAAAAUGCAAAAGAGUAAUGAGCACACUGCUCUUCUUCCUGAAUUUAAUGAGAGUGCACUCUGUAUUUUAUCAUUAACCAUAAUAUUGGCUAUCAAUAUGCAAUAACUAUUCUCUAUUAGAUUAAGGAAGUUUUCUUCUAUUUUCAGGCAGCUUUUGUAUUUAUUUUAAUAUUGCUUUCAUUUUAAUUAUUUUUAAUCUUUGCAAUUAUUGAAAUAAUUAUUUUUAAUCUUCAGAGGUAUUGAUGUGACUAAUUAAUUGACUGGUGUUUUUA
rnacentral:lncRNA from 1 species